UUGACAGCUUUGGAAACUGAUGACUUCUUUUUCUCUCAAUAAUAGAUACAGCCUGAUAAACAGAGGGAUAAGAUUCUUCCAACUGCUUCUCCAAUAGGCCUUCACCCUGACAAAGUAAUGGCUGCAAGGAAGAAAGAACAAGUCACCUUUUCCAGCCAGUUCUCUGCAGGCAAUGCU
ensembl:misc_RNA